rnacentral:rRNA from 1 species
AGCGAACGCUGGCGGCAGGCCUAACACAUGCAAGUCGAACGAACUCUUCGGAGUUAGUGGCGGACGUGUGAGUAACACGUGGGAACUUGCCUUUUGGUUCGGAAUAACUCAGGGAAACUUGUGCUAAUACCGAAUGUGCCCUUCGGGGGAAAGAUUUAUCGCCAUUAGAGCGGCCCGCGUCUGAUUAGCUAGUUGGUGAGGUAACGGCUCACCAAGGCGACGAUCAGUAGCUGGUCUGAGAGGAUGACCAGCCACACUGGGACUGAGACACGGCCCAGACUCCUACGGGAGGCAGCAGUGGGGAAUCUUGCGCAAUGGGCGAAAGCCUGACGCAGCCAUGCCGCGUGAAUGAUGAAGGUCUUAGGAUUGUAAAAUUCUUUCACCGGGGACGAUAAUGACGGUACCCGGAGAAGAAGCCCCGGCUAACUUCGUG